GAACACCAAAUGAGCCUUUGUGCAUUCGUUCCACUUUCUGCUGAGCAGCAUUGGCCACAGCUUUCUGAGCAUCAUAUCUCAUUUACAAGGUGACCCUGAACACAAAACCUUUUAAUUAGCCUGAAAAUCCAACCUGCUUUAUAUACAUGACUGUCAGCCCUCUCGCCUUCUGCUGCCCUUUGUUGCUAUGGCAGCGGUCUCCCAACAAUGGAGGUUAUAUUGCAGAAGGAGAAAAGCAUAGCCAAGAUGCUCAGAGCUUGUGUGUGAAGCCGGAUAAAUAUUCAUGUUGCAACCGGGUGCUGAAGAACUGCUCUUUGAGGAACUCUUCCAGAAGGAGCAUAUCUACACCUGGCAUCUCUGGUCUCGUUUCACAGUUGGGAGGAGUAUAUGUGGAUGUGCAGGCUGCUGUUCUUCAUUGUAUUAGCCCCUCUGGAAAGGUUAAUGAGAAUAUACUUCUUUUGGAGACUGGAGCUAGCAUGACUUCACAAAACCAUAGAGCCCUUCUUUCCUCCAUGCCCUGUGCUCCUGCAGAAAGCCCAGGCUGGAAGAAUGACUUACAUCGAUAGACAAUGACAUAUGUGACAGUAAUAAAACUGGUAGCAACUAAGGAAGGUGGUGUUUGCACCAAAACAACAACACAAUUGACUCUUCAGCAGAAGACUUGCAUUCUGACAGCAGGAGGGUGGCAGCGUGGUUACAGGACAUGCGUUGUGCCUUUCUUCAUCCCAGGCUCCUGAAGGGAAUGAUAUAACUGCUCCAAAGCAGUUGAUUGUCACCAGCAAAGAAAUUCGGAAGACAUAGUGAGCGCUCUGUAACUGGCAUCUCUCAUCUUCUCUGUUACACACAAGCGAUCCAUCUCCAAACAUUAAUACACACAAUUUACUUGAGUGAAACCUAGGAAAGAACGAUUGUAAGAGUGGAGAACCAGUUUUGUUUAAAAUAAAUAUCACCUUCCCUACCU